rnacentral:lncRNA from 1 species
CCCUCCCCUUAGUGGCCGGCCUCCUUAGAAGAAAAUGGAGAAAAUGUUUCACCCAAUUUCAACAAGAAAAACCCUAAUGAGAAAAUAGCUAUAAAGUUGCUUUUAUAACCUUUUCUUUGGUGAGUGGCAAACUUGUAAUUAAGCAAACUUUGCCAAUCCACCCUAAUGGCCGGCCAUCCUUUGUUAUUGGGCUAAUUUGCCCAUUUUGUUUUAGUUGUCAUACAACUUA